GACGAAGGUGGCGAGCGUUGUUCGGAAUUACUGGGCGUAAAGCGCACGUAGGCGGCUUUGUAAGUAAGAGGUGAAAGCCCAGAGCUCAACUCUGGAAUUGCCUUUUAGACUGCAUCGCUUGAAUCAUGGAGAGGUCAGUGGAAUUCCGAGUGUAGAGGUGAAAUUCGUAGAUAUUCGGAAGAACACCAGUGGCGAAGGCGGCUGACUGGACAUGUAUUGACGCUGAGGUGCGAAAGCGUGGGGAGCAAACAGG
rnacentral:rRNA from 1 species